GCCUGUCCCUCCUCAGAGGCUUUUCCCUAUCUCACAGCCACAGGGAUGGGUGACUGCCUGAUACUAGAGGAUGGGGCUCUGUGGGGAAUGCAGGCUGAGAGAGUCAGGAGGACUGUGCUGCCCACAGGGCUCCAGCAUCACCAGGACUUAAGCACUCCAGUUGGACGGCCUGAUGCUGAGGCUCUGCUGCAACUGGUAGAGACAGUCGUGGGCCAGGUCCUGCCUGGGGCCACUGUCACGCUGACUGGUGGCUUUCGAAGGUAAGGGGGUUUGACAUACCCUUCUGGCUCACCUCCAGGACUCUCCCCAAUGCAGUUGGGGACAUUGAGGUGGCUUUCCCAUUCACUGGGAGGGGCAUGGCCCAUAGCUGGAAUGAGGGCUAUGUCCUUAUCCUUCUCAGGGGCAAGUUACAGGGCCAUGAUGUGGACUUCCUUAUCACCCACCCUGAGGAGGGCCAGGAGGCAGGGUUGCUGCCGAGAGUGAUGUGCCACCUGCAGAGCCAGGUGAGGGCUUCUGGUGCCUCUGCCCAAGAGUUGACUGCUACCUGGCCUUCUGUUCUCCUAGUACCAUGGUGGUGCCUGGCCACAUCUGCCUUUCCCCACAGGGCCUUAUCUUGUAUCAUCAGCACCAAGCCAGCUGCUUAGAGACCCCUACUCACCUUGUCCAGCGGAGCCAUACCAUGGAUGCCUUUGAGAGGAGUUUCUGCAUCUUCCGCCUGCCUCAACCCCCAGGAGCUGCCUUGGGGGGUGUCCUGAAGCCUUGCUCAGCGUGGAAAGCUGUGAGGGUAGAUCUGGUGGUUGCUCCCAUCAGCCAGUUCCCUUUUGCUCUGCUUGGCUGGACUGGCUCUCAGGUAGGUUGUGUGCUGCUGAGGCUGCCAGGGCUGAGGUGAGCCAACCAUACUGAGGGCAGUUACUCCCCCCAGCUUUUUGAGCGGGAACUGCGCCGAUUCAGCCGGAAAGAGAAGGGACUGUGUCUGAAUAGCCAUGGACUGUUUGACCCAGAGCAGGUAUGUCAAGGAUUAGGGUGGGAAACAACCCCCUAGCCUGCUUCCUGGAUCACAGCCUGAAAUGGCCCUAAAUCUCUCCAUCCUGGAACCCAUGGUGCCCAGAUCUUGGUCUUACCUCCCAGAUCCUAGCCCUCCCCAAAAGGCAUCUUGCCUUAGCACUGGGCUCUGCCUCCCCAUCUAGCCUGUCUCCAGGGGAGCCAUCCUGGCUGGGCACCCUGUGCAUUGUGCAAUGGUGCCACUGGGCAUGGCCCCCAGCUUCUGAAGCCUCUGCUUCUGUUGCAGAAGACAUUUUUCCAUGUGGUUUCCGAAGAAGACAUUUUCAGACACCUGGGCCUCAAGUACCUUCCCCCAGAGCAGAGAAAUGCCUGAUCCAGCCCAUCUGCCCUCACUCCUCUUAGGAAACGGGGGGCUGCUGGACACUUUUGAAUAUCUCCAGGCAGAAGAUACGCUGCCACGCCAUAUCCUCAUCUCCAAGUGGAAGAGUCUUUACCUGUGGGAGCGUCUGUGAGGCGCGGCCUUCCUCACACUCCAGCCUUAUAGCUGUGUGAUCAUGGUCAGCAUUCAGCCUCCCCAGGCCUCAGGUUCCCACCUGGGUCAGGAAAUCUGAGCAGUACUCAAGUCAUGGAGCUGUGGCAGAGCCUGCAGUCCCAGUGCGGCAAUUGAGGUGUGGUUGAAUGUCUUCUAUAGGGCACCCCACUCAGUUGCCCAGAAGAGAACCGUGUAUCCCUGCCCUGCACUUGAGCCAUGAGGUGGAAGCUGUAGUUCUUGCUCUUAGGAGUCCUCUGUGGAGGUUAAAAUGGGUAUGCUGCAAUCACCUGGAAUGAGUGAAGGUCCAAGUCACGAGAACUUCCAAUGCUGGGAUUUUGGCACUGCAGCCCCUACCCUGCUUCUGCCUUUAAGUCCUAUACUCUCCCUACUUCAAAACAGGUCACACCCUGCCACUUCUUGCUCAUAGUCCUGCGGCAUUCCAAAUCCCCAAAUCCUCAUGUGAUCCCCUAGGGUUCUAGCAUUUCUGCCACCCCUGCCAAUCUCAUCUGCACUCUUCUUUCAAUACCCCCCGCCCCACCCCUCAUUUGCUUCCUGUUUCACUGUUUCCUACUGAUGUGCUCAGACCCCAUGUCUCUGACUCCCUCCCCUUUCUAAGGCAGAAACACUGAAAUGAGCUGGACACACAGGUGUCCUGUGUGUUCCCUGAUCUCCUUCAGGGCCUUUGCCUUUGCCACUCUUCGCCUCCUUCAGGACUUGACUCAAGGUCAUCUUGUCAGUCACAGCUUCCCAGACUACUCACCACAUCACAAAGUGUUUUUUAAAUUAACAUGCAAUAAAAUGCUAUCUUUUAAGGUUUGUUUUUAAUGAGCUUUAACACAGGUAUAGACUCUGCCAUCUCAGGACCCAAAGGUCUGUCCCCCAAGCAUUGCCUUAUGCCAUUGCAUUAUUGCCACAUGUUCUUUAUCCCAACUCACUCAUUUUGUUCACUUAUCUACAAUUUUGCCCUCUCCAGAAUCUCAUAGAAGUGGAACCAAAUUCUCCCUUUUACUUGCCUCUCUCUCAUCAUGCCUUUGAGAUUCACUCAGGUUUUUGCAUAUAUUGAUAGUUUAUUUUUAUUUAUUGCCACAUAAUAUUACAUUCAUGGGGUGUUCCAGGAUUUAUCUGUUCAGCUACUGAAGAAUGUUUAGAUUGUUUCCAGGGUUUGGUGAUUAUGAAUAGAGCUACUGUAGCCAUGUGUAUAUAGAUUAGUGGGUAACAUACCUUUUCAGUUCUCUUGGGUAAAUAUGAAGGUAUAGGAAUAUUGGGUUAUAUGAAAAGUAUGUUUUUAAGAAAGAGCUAAAUUGUUCAGAAUGCCUGUCAUUUUCCAUUUUAUCAGCAGUGUGAGCCACCCAUAUAAGUUAAACAUUUCAUAGUAGCAGUUACUGUGUAUCUGUCAGCAAUUGAUAAUUUUGGUUUUUAUUUUAGCUGUUCUAUGAUAGGUCUGUAGCACUAAUUAACUGCCUUCCUUUUUUUUUUUCCCCUUUCCCUUCCUUUCUGGGGAUUGAAACCACGGGCUUGUGAAAUAGUAAGCUCACACUCUGCCAUUGAGCUAUAAUCCCAGCCCAUUUAUUAUGGUGGGUUUUUUUUGGUGUGUGUGUGUGUGUGUUUGUGUUUGUGUGUGUGUGUGUGGCAGGACUAGGGUUUGAUACCAGGGCCUUGCAAAUGUUAGGCAAGCACUCUACUCUGGGCCACAUCCCCAUCAAUACUUUUAUUUAUUUUUAUGUGAUGCUGAGGAUUGAACCCAGUACCUCACACAUGCUAGGUAAGCACUCUAACACUGAGCUACAACCCCAGCUCCCCAUCCUUUUUUAUUUUGGGAUAAGGUCUCUAAGUUGCCCAGACUGCUUUGAAGUUUCAAUCCUCUUACCUCUGUCUCCUGAGUAUCUGGGAUGAAGGCAUGACCACCGUGCUCAGCUGUUAUUUUUUUGUUUUUGUUUUAGGAGCAGUCUUUUAUUUAUUUAUGUUUGCAGUCUUUUGUUUUUAUACACUUUGACAAAGAGGUUUUCAGGAGGCAAUCUUUUCAGUGGAAAAUAGAGAACAUGAAAAUUUGCCUCCAGCUAUCAGUAGCUGCUCUGUUCAGAGUCUGUCAUCCCACUUGCUCAAGGAAUGAAGUGGAGGGGUGUAUUUCCCUUCCUUUCCUAGCUGAUUUCAGUACUUUAUCCUCCCAACACCUGUACUAGGGUUUGAACCCCAAGGGGUGCUUAACCACCGAGCCACAUCCCUAGUCCUUUUUUAUUUUUUAUUUAGACAGGGUCUUACUGAGAUGCUUAGGGCCUUGCUAAAUUGUUGAGUCUGGCUUUGAACUCAUGAUCCUCCUGUAACUGGGGUUACAGGUCUGCCCUCGAAUCCUACUGCUUCUUGAUGGUAUUCAUGUGUUUUGUCAUUUUCUGCCUAAGCAUAUAUUCUGUGAAAUCAAAUCUGUUUUGUACUCUAUGCCUAGAUGUUAUUGGUUUUAUGUGCACAUGC
rnacentral:lncRNA from 1 species